UACGUAGGGUGCGAGCGUUAAUCGGAAUUACUGGGCGUAAAGCGUGCGCAGGCGGUUUUGUAAGCCAGAUGUGAAAUCCCCGGGCUUAACCUGGGAAUGGCAUUUGGGACUGCAAGGCUCGAGUGCGGCAGAGGAGACUGGAAUUCCUGGUGUAGCAGUGAAAUGCGUAGAUAUCUGGAGGAACACCGGGUGGCGAAGGCGGCAUCCUGGACCAACACUGACGCUGAGUGAGCGAAAGCCAGGGGAGCCAAAGCGGG
rnacentral:rRNA from 1 species